rnacentral:ncRNA from 2 species
CCACUAUUUCGGGGCGAGGUGAAAAUCCUCACCGGUGGUAAAGUCCACGACCCGACCUCCCAGGUCGGCUGAUUCGGUGCAAUUCCGAAACCGACGGUAAUUGGCAAACGCCAUAAGUCCGGAUGAGAGAAAUAAGGC